rnacentral:lncRNA from 1 species
AAAAAGAAAUAUUACUAAAUCUAUAUUUUUACUGCUUGAUUUUUUUAAGACUCCUUGGGCUUCAAAUCGCUACCUGGAAAACUGCCGUGGUUGGAGCUGCAGUAGGCUGUUGGAUAAAUCUGUCCCAUCCUCGUCGCUUCAUCUGGGAUUCUCAAAGAUAUUCACACAUCAGAGAAGGAUCUCCAACCCCAUGGGCAUGAUGGAGCUUGGGAAGCCACAGCCCAGGAUCUAAUCCCAGCUCUUGGCUGUGGGGAUGCGACAAAUCCACUGUCAGCAUAAGCAUCCUUUGCUCAUGAGGUGGGUAUUUAAUGUCUCUACAGGACCUAGCAUAAAAG